UACGAAGGGGGCUAGCGUUGCUCGGAAUCACUGGGCGUAAAGGGUGCGUAGGCGGGUCUUUAAGUCAGGGGUGAAAUCCUGGAGUUCAACUCCAGAACUGCCUUUGAUACUGAAGAUCUUGAGUUCGGGAGAGGUGAGUGGAACUGCGAGUGUAGAGGUGAAAUUCGUAGAUAUUCGCAAGAACACCAGUGGCGAAGGCGGCUCACUGGCCCGGUACUGACGCUGAGGUGCGAAAGCGUGGGGAGCAAACAGG
rnacentral:rRNA from 1 species